rnacentral:lncRNA from 1 species
CAGCCACAGUUUAUGGCAGACAACCAUUUUAAAUCUUACAAUAUCAACAUAUUUUAUCUUUUAAUAACCACAAAUAUAUAUCUUUUAAUACCACAAAUAUACACAAUUUAUCUUUAAAAGUUAAAGUAAGAAAGCUAAAGUUGAACCCCCCCCCCCAACAUAAAAGCCAACAGAUGACAUACAAAGGCUAGAAAUAUAGAGAUAUCUCAAAAAGUUUAGUAACUCAUAAAUCAUAUAAGGUACUGUAAAUGCCCCUAUAAAAUGAAGAGGAAAAAAGUCAGACUUCUUCUCUGGUUCCAAGGGAGGACCAAAAAAAUUAUAUAGGAUUUUCCAGGUGAGGGGUGGGGAGCCAAGACAUAGAAAGCAAAGAGGCUUAGGCUUCAAAUGAAGGGGGAAAAGGACAACUAAAAACCAAGGAAAGCCCUGCAGUCAUGACAGGAAAAGAAUUAGCAAUUUCCCACACUAACCCAGAGUCUCUGAGAAUUCAUUCUAACAGGUAGGUUAAUGCAAAAGGCAGCCAGAAGGAGUGGAAUUGCAGGGCUUUGAAAAAGAAACAACAUACUUUGGGAGUGGGGAUAAAUCUAACCUUUGUACGAAUAAAAAUAAAAUAAAAAAUUAUUGGAAAAAACAUUCUACACCUUUCUUGUUUGCGUAUGCGAUAGAUAUUGCCUAUAACAUCUUCCUGGGGUGUUUUUCAAUUUUACUAAUCUCUUCUGGUUCUGCGACAGUUCACCCCAAUAUAGCUAGUGAAGUCACGACUGCAGGAGUCAUAUGCAGGCGCCUCCACUGCAGCCCCAGCUCCUCAGGGGACCUCCAGGGGGCGCCGCUCCGAGAGCACGUUCUCACCUCUGUCAGGGCUCUUCUUGCUGAGUCUUUCCUCUGGCGCUCUCAGGUCCUUCCGUCUCGUCUGAGAACGGGACUCUCCUGGGCAGAGGGCCCAGGCCUGACAAGGGGUCCAGGGGAGCUGAUGUCAGCCCCGGGGCCUUCGAGGCCCCCUUCCUCCAGAUUCACCCUCUUACCGGAAGGAUGGAAGGUGCGAGAGGCUGCGGAAUCUUUUCUCAAAAAAAAAGACUUCACCUCAUUUUCCCUAGAGGAACCCUAG